UGGGGAAUAUUGCACAAUGGGGGAAACCCUGAUGCAGCGACGCCGCGUGAGCGAAGAAGGUUUUCGAAUCGUAAAGCUCUGUCCUAUGGGAAGAUAAUGACGGUACCAUAGGAGGAAGCCCCGGCUAACUACGUGCCAGCAGCCGCGGUAAUACGUAGGGGGCAAGCGUUGUCCGGAAUCACUGGGCGUAAAGGGUUCGCAGGCGGAAAUGCAAGUCAGUUGUGAAAGGCAGAGGCUCAACCUCUGUAAGCAAUUGAAACUGUAUUGCUUGAGAUGUGGAGAGGCAAGUGGAAUUCCUAGUGUAGCGGUGAAAUGCGUAGAUAUUAGGAGGAAUACCGGUGGCGAAGGCGACUUGCUGGACACAAACUGACGCUGAGGAACGAAAGCGUGGGUAGCAAACAGG
rnacentral:rRNA from 1 species